rnacentral:rRNA from 1 species
AUUGAACGCUGGCGGCAGGCCUAACACAUGCAAGUCGAGCGGCAGCGGGAAAGUAGCUUGCUACUUUUGCCGGCGAGCGGCGGACGGGUGAGUAAUGCCUGGGAAAUUGCCCAGUCGAGGGGGAUAACAGUUGGAAACGACUGCUAAUACCGCAUACGCCCUACGGGGGAAAGCAGGGGACCUUCGGGCCUUGCGCGAUUGGAUAUGCCAGGUGGGAUUAGCUAGUUGGUGAGGUAAUGGCUCACCAAGGCGACGAUCCCUAGCUGGUCUGAGAGGAUGAUCAGCCACACUGGAACUGAGACACGGUCCAGACUCCUACGGGAGGCAGCAGUGGGGAAUAUUGCACAAUGGGGGGAACCCUGAUGCAGCCAUGCCGCGUGUGUGAAGAAGGCCUUCGGGUUGUAAAGCACUUUCAGCGAGGAGGAAAGGUUGAUGCCUAAUACGUAUCAACUGUGACGUUACUCGCAGAAGAAGCACCGGCUAACUCCGUGCCAGCAGCCGCCGUAACAC